rnacentral:lncRNA from 1 species
GGUUUCUAGGUCAGAAGGGGUUUUGGGCCUGGCUUUGGACUACAGUUUCUCCGCCUGCCACCACGCGUAUGUUAUUCACACCCCAUUUCCUAUCUGCAUACAAAAGGGCCUUGGGCCUGGCUUUUGGGCGCGCCAUCUCCUUCUGUCACCACACCACUCUGUUUGCACCCUCCCUUUGUUUCUGCAAGGAAAGAGGCCUUGGGCCGGGUCAGCGAAGUAUCCAGUGGUACCCCCAUUGUUACCAUUCACACUCCCUCC